rnacentral:rRNA from 2 species
AGAGUUUGAUCCUGGCUCAGGACGAACGCUGGCGGCGUGCCUAAUACAUGCAAGUAGAACGCUGAAGAGAGGAGCUUGCUCUUCUUGGAUGAGUUGCGAACGGGUGAGUAACGCGUAGGUAACCUGCCUUGUAGCGGGGGAUAACUAUUGGAAACGAUAGCUAAUACCGCAUAACAAUGGAUGACACAUGUCAUUUAUUUGAAAGGGGCAAUUGCUCCACUACAAGAUGGACCUGCGUUGUAUUAGCUAGUAGGUGAGGUAACGGCUCACCUAGGCGACGAUACAUAGCCGACCUGAGAGGGUGAUCGGCCACACUGGGACUGAGACACGGCCCAGACUCCUACGGGAGGCAGCAGUAGGGAAUCUUCGGCAAUGGGGGCAACCCUGACCGAGCAACGCCGCGUGAGUGAAGAAGGUUUUCGGAUCGUAAAGCUCUGUUGUAAGUCAAGAACGAGUGUGAGAGUGGAAAGUUCACACUGUGACGGUAGCUUACCAGAAAGGGACGGCUAACUACGUGCCAGCAGCCGCGGUAAUACGUAGGUCCCGAGCGUUGUCCGGAUUUAUUGGGCGUAAAGCGAGCGCAGGCGGUUUGAUAAGUCUGAAGUUAAAGGCUGUGGCUCAACCAUAGUUCGCUUUGGAAACUGUCAAACUUGAGUGCAGAAGGGGAGAGUGGAAUUCCAUGUGUAGCGGUGAAAUGCGUAGAUAUAUGGAGGAACACCGGUGGCGAAAGCGGCUCUCUGGUCUGUAACUGACGCUGAGGCUCGAAAGCGUGGGGAGCGAACAGGAUUAGAUACCCUGGUAGUCCACGCCGUAAACG